CCAUUUGGAUGCUUAACUCCAGGAUUUGACAUAAACUUAGUUCCAAUGGGAUGGAAACUAGCUUGCAAUUUUCCAUACCAAAUUUCUUUAGCACUCCUUCCAAGUAUUUCCUUUGAGUUAUGGACAUUGUACGUAAAUGACGGUUUCAUUUAAUACUCAUUCCUAGCAACUCUGUAUUGUUGGAAAAGAAUGGCCAUACCUUCCACUUUACCUGUAUUUACCAAUUUAUAAAUGUUUUCUCUUA